AGGAGGGAUGCUUUGUUCUGGGAGAGUGGGUGCUUAGGCUGAGGCUUUUUCCAGACAAGGAUUUCGAUACCCAGAGCACAGCAGAGAUGGCUCCGACGGUUCCCUCGUAUGGAUUUUUACCCUAGUGGAGCUUGUAGUUCUCGUAACAGAAAUCAAAGACUGUAAGUGUAUCCUGCCUGGACUGCUCAUAUUGCUGGUGACAAGUGAUGCUAAAGUGACUGCACUGUCAGCUACUGGAAGCCUCGGGCGACGUGCAGCAGGGCUACAUACAGGGCUGGUUGCCUUAACUUCUUUUGACAUUUCUUCUCUCUGACCAUGAGGUUGCUGAGAUGGGAAGAUUAAGUUGCUCGUGGAAGAAUGAGAUCUGACACAGGUGAAAGCCACAGGUGUGUGUACGCAUGCGGACCUGAGGACUGAUACUUGACGUAGCUCUUUUGACAAACAGUAUUUAUCUGAGGCCAAACCUCCAUCCAAAGAAAGGUUCUAAGCUUCGGGGAUGUGUUUGAGAAUGAUGCUUCAAACUGGGUUAUGGUGACGAUGUGUGAAAGGAGACUUAGUGCCGGUCCACUGGGUGGGUAAAUGCAAGGUGAGAAUCCUGCGUAACCAGUGACUCUGAUAUACAC